UACAGAGGGUGCAAGCGUUGUUCGGAAUCAUUGGGCGUAAAGCGCACGUAGGCGGACUGCUAAGUCAGGUGUGAAAGCCCCAGGCUCAACCUGGGAAGUGCACUUGAAACUGGCGGUCUUGAGUGUCGGAGAGGGUGGUGGAAUUCCGAGUGUAGAGGUGAAAUUCGUAGAUAUUCGGAGGAACACCAGUGGCGAAGGCGACCACCUGGACGAACACUGACGCUGAGGUGCGAAAGCGUGGGGAGCAAACAGG
rnacentral:rRNA from 1 species